rnacentral:lncRNA from 1 species
GAAAGUUUGGCCACGUAGGACUGCCAAGUCAGCAGCCUCAAUGAACCAGAGUGCGCCGCGUGGCAAGGCGUUGUGACAUCAAUGCCACACGGGAGGCCACGUUGGCGAUCCGCAUGCCCUGUGAUAGGAUAACCCAGGAUUGAUCCCGCGCGCAUGGACGGCCCGGAUCCGUUUCACAUUUAGGCGCGAUUGGACGGUCAAGAUUAAUCGCGAUGAACGGUCCAGAUUUAUUUCCUCCUUAGGUGCGAUCGGACGAAUAAGAUCGAUCACGAUGGACGGUCCAGAUCAACGCAGGAUAGUUAUAAAUACUUAGCAUCAUACGGGAACUUAAACCUUAGCCGCCAGUCCCCCACUGGAGAAGAAGGACCAGAAGUCAGAGAAGGAGGCCAACCGCCAACCACCACCGCACCGGAGCCACUAC